rfam:Salmo salar isolate Sally breed double haploid chromosome ssa06, whole genome shotgun sequence.
UGAAUUCACUACUGUAAGUCGCUCUGGAUAAGAGCGUCUGCUAAAUGAUGUAAA